AGGUGGCAAGCGUUGUCCGGAAUUACUGGGUGUAAAGGGAGCGUAGGCGGGAAGACAAGUUGGGAGUGAAAUGUAUGGGCUUAACCCAUAAACUGCUUUCAAAACUGUUUUUCUUGAGUGAAGUAGAGGCAGGCGGAAUUCCUAGUGUAGCGGUGAAAUGCGUAAAUAUUAGGAGGAACACCAGUGGCGAAGGCGGCCUGCUGGGCUUUAACUGACGCUGAGGCUCGAAAGCGUGGGUAGCAA
rnacentral:rRNA from 1 species